rnacentral:rRNA from 1 species
GACGAACGCUGGCGGCGUGCUUAACACAUGCAAGUCGAACGGUGAAGCGAGUGCUUGCACUCGUGGAUCAGUGGCGAACGGGUGAGUAACACGUGAGUAACCUGCCCAUCACUCUGGGAUAAGCACUGGAAACGGUGUCUAAUACUGGAUACGACCAACCCUUGCAUGGGGUGUUGGUGGAAAGAUUUAUCGGUGUUGUAUGGACUCGCGGCCUAUCAGCUUGUUGGCGGAGUAAUGGCCCACCAAGGCGACGACGGGUAGCCGGCCUGAGAGGGUGACCGGCCACACUGGGACUGAGAAACGGCCCAGACUCCUACGGGAGGCAGCAGUGGGGAAUAUUGCACAAUGGGCGAAAGCCUGAUGCAGAGACGCCGCGUGAGGGAUGACGGCCUUCGGGUUGUAAACCUCUUUCAGCAGGGAAGAAGCGAAAGUGACGGUACCUGCAGAAGAAGCACCGGCUAACUACGUG